rnacentral:misc_RNA from 1 species
CACAAAUUAAAAUAUGAAGGCUUCGGCUGGAUUAUUUUUAUCACCCUUGUCUUUUGCGCACUUGUUGUUUCCUGGGCGGGGUUCGCCCGCCACCAGGACCACACCAUAAACCUUUUUUUAUGCGGUUGCAAUCAGCGUCAGUAUAACAAAUGUAAAUCAUUUA